rnacentral:rRNA from 1 species
GGCGAACGCUGGCGGCGUGCUUAACACAUGCAAGUCGAACGGUAAGGCCCUUCGGGGUACACGAGUGGCGAACGGGUGAGUAACACGUGGGUGAUCUGCCCUGCACUUCGGGAUAAGCCUGGGAAACUGGGUCUAAUACCGGAUAGGACCACUGCCUGCAUGGGUGGUGGUGGAAAGCUUUUGCGGUGUGGGAUGGGCCCGCGGCCUAUCAGCUAGUUGGUGAGGUAACGGCUCACCAAGGCGACGAAGGGUAGCCGGCCUGAGAGGGUGACCGGCCACACUGGGACUGAGACACGGCCCAGACUCGUACGGGAGGCAGCAGUGGGGAAUAUUGCACAAUGGGCGCAAGCCUGAUGCAGCAACGCCGCGUGAGGGAUGACGGCCUUCGGGUUGUAAACCUCUUUUAGUAGGGAAGAAGCGAAAGUGACGGUACCUGCAGAAAAAGCACCGGCUAACUACGUGCCAGCCGCCGCCGUAA